UUUUCAGCACAAAUGGGUAUCUUAGAAGGACGCUCGGAAGGUCUGAGAAGCACUCUCCACUCCAUGGGAAUUGGAGCAGGUGUGCAAGCCUUAGGUCAGAGGUGCCUGCUUAUCUGCACCUGACAACACUUCUCCACUCUGGCUCCAUGAGCCCCGAAGUUUUGAAAUCAGCAUCUGAGUCCGUCAUGCAGCUUGUCUCAGGACGUCAGUGCUCCAAGAAGGCAGCAGUUUCCUUGGUGGUGGAGUCAGAAGGAGAGUCUUUGGGAAUUCUCCUGUAUAGAGGCAUGCUGGUGGCUUCAGGGGGCUUGGCGGACAUCA